rnacentral:rRNA from 1 species
AGGACGAACGCUGGCGGCGUGCUUAACACAUGCAAGUCGAACGAGACGAUUGAAAGCUUGCUUUUGAAAGUCGAGUGGCAAACGGGUGAGUAACGCGUGAGGAACCUGCCUUUCAGUGGGGGACAACAGUUGGAAACGACUGCUAAUACCGCAUAACACUUCUGAGUGGCAUCACUUAGAAGUCAAAGCUUUAUGUGCUGAAAGAUGGGCUCGCGUCCGAUUAGAUAAGUUGGUGAGGUAACGGCUCACCAAGUCGACGAUCGGUAGCCGGACUGAGAGGUUGAACGGCCACAUUGGGACUGAGACACGGCCCAGACUCCUACGGGAGGCAGCAGUGGGGAAUAUUGCACAAUGGGCGAAAGCCUGAUGCAGCAACGCCGCGUGAGGGAAGACGGUUUUCGGAUUGUAAACCUCUGUUUCGGUGACGAACAAAUGACGGUAACCGAGUAGGAAGCCACGGCUAACUACGUG